CAGCCCUUGACAUCCCGGUCGCGGUUUCCAGAGAUGGAUACCUUCAGUUCGGCUGGACCGGUGACAGGUGCUGCAUGGCUGUCGUCAGCUCGUGUCGUGAGAUGUUGGGUUAAGUCCCGCAACGAGCGCAACCCUCGCCCUUAGUUGCCAGCAUUCAGUUGGGCACUCUAAGGGGACUGCCGGUGAUAAGCCGAGAGGAAGGUGGGGAUGACGUCAAGUCCUCAUGGCCCUUACGGGCUGGGCUACACACGUGCUACAAUGGUGGUGACAGUGGGCAGCGAGACCGCGAGGUCGAGCUAAUCUCCAAAAGCCAUCUCAGUUCGGAUUGCACUCUGCAACUCGAGUGCAUGAAGUUGGAAUCGCUAGUAAUCGCGGAUCAGCAUGCCGCGGUGAAUACGUUCCC
rnacentral:rRNA from 1 species